CUUAAGCAUAUCAAUAAGCGGAGGAAAAGAAACCAACAGGGAUUGCCCUAGUAACGGCGAGUGAAGCGGCAACAGCUCAAAUUUGAAAUCUGGCGCAAGCCCGAGUUGUAAUUUGUAGAGGAUGCUUCUAGGUAGCGACCGGUCUAAGUUCCUUGGAACAGGACGUCAUAGAGGGUGAGAAUCCCGUAUGUGACCGGCCCGCACCUUCUACGUAGCUCCUUCGACGAGUCGAGUUGUUUGGGAAUGCAGCUCUAAAUGGGAGGUAAAUUUCUUCUAAAGCUAAAUACCGGCCAGAGACCGAUAGCGCACAAGUAGAGUGAUCGAAAGAUGAAAAGCACUUUGGAAAGAGAGUUAAAAAGCACGUGAAAUUGUUGAAAGGGAAGCGCUCACAACCAGACUUCUGGGCGGUGUUCCGCCGGUCUUCUGACCGGUCUACUCACCGUCCCGAGGCCAACAUCAUCUGGGACCGCUGGAUAAGACCUCAGGAAUGUAGCUUCCCUCGGGAAGUGUUAUAGCCUGUGGUGAUGCAGCGCGUCUCGGGUGAGGUCCGCGCUUCGGCAAGGAUGUUGGCGUAAUGGUUGUCAGCGGCCCGUCUUGAAACACGGACCAAGGAGUCUAACAUCUAUGCGAGUGUUCGGGUGUCAAACCCCUACGCGUAAUGAAAGUGAACGGAGGUGGGAAGCGUAAGCUGCACCAUCGACCGAUCCUGAUGUCCUCGGAUGGAUUUGAGUAAGAGCAUAGCUGUUGGGACCCGAAAGAUGGUGAACUAUGCCUGAAUAGGGUGAAGCCAGAGGAAACUCUGGUGGAGGCUCGCAGCGGUUCUGACGUGCAAAUCGAUCGUCAAAUUUGGGUAUAGGGGCGAAAGACUAAUCGAACCAU
rnacentral:rRNA from 1 species